rnacentral:lncRNA from 1 species
UAUGAACAAUUUAGUCUUCAAUAUAUUCAACCCCAAAUCUUAUCUCUUAACGUAUACAAUAUACUUGUGGUCUGAUUGAUUUAAUUUAUUUUAUUGUUCUAGGUGGUCUUAGAGUUUAUGGACCAAUUUGACUUAGUGGGUCCGGAUUAUAUUAAUCAUUGAGUACGUACGUAGGUUAAUUAUACUAUACAAACUAAAUAUGUUUGAAACACAUAAUAUGGCACUAAAUCCCACACAAUUCUUGUAUGAUCAUCAGCUACAUAGUCC